rnacentral:rRNA from 1 species
GACGAACGCUGGCGGCGUGCUUAACACAUGCAAGUCGAGCGAUGAAGCACCUUCGGGUGUGGAUUAGCGGCGAACCGGUGAGGAACACGUGAGGAAUCUGCCUUUCACUUCGGGAUAACUCCGGGAAACCGGGGCUAAUACCGGAUAUUUUCAACUGGCGGCAUCGCCGGUUGAAGAAAGUUUUUCGGUGAAAGAUGACCUCGCGGCCUAUCAGCUUGUUGGUGAGGUAAUGGCUCACCAAGGCGACGACGGGUAGCCGGCCUGAGAGGGCGACCGGCCACACUGGGACUGAGACACGGCCCAGAAUCCUACGGGAGGUAGCAGUGGGGAAUAUUGGGCAAUGGAGGAAACUCUGACCCAGCGACGCCGCGUGAGGGAUGAAGGCCUUCGGGUUGUAAACCUCUUUCAGCAGGGAAUAAGCGAAAGUGAAGGUACCUGCAGAAGAGGCACCGGCUAACUAUGUGCCAGCCGCCGCAGUAA